UACGAAGGGGGCUAACGUUGUUCGGAAUUACUGGGCGUAAAGCGCACGUAGGCGGACUACUAAGUCAGGGGUGAAAUCCCGGGGCUCAACCCCGGAACUGCCUUUGAUACUGAUAGUCUCGAGUCCGGAAGAGGUGAGUGGAAUUCCGAGUGUAGAGGUGAAAUUCGUAGAUAUUCGGAGGAACACCAGUGGCGAAGGCGGCUCACUGGUCCGGUACUGACGCUGAGGUGCGAAAGCGUGGGGAGCAAACAGG
rnacentral:rRNA from 1 species